rnacentral:lncRNA from 1 species
AAACAAACAACUGUAAAAUAAAAUAAAAAAAUAAUAUUUUUUGCUACAAAUAACCAACAAAACUCAAAAACCCCCCAAAACCAAAAAAAAAAGAAAAAUGACCAACAAAUGUCAAAACCCAUAACCCAAAUACGAAUACGGGACAAAGAUAAAGUUCAUACCUUGUUUGAAAAACCAAUGUAACCUGACAAAUCGAUGACACAAAAAAGGUAAGAACUUUGACGAAAACGACACUCAAGAUCCAUAGAGAUUGCUCAAUC